AUUGAACGCUGGCGGCAUGCUUUACACAUGCAAGUCGAACGGCAGCGCGGGCUUCGGCCUGGCGGCGAGUGGCGAACGGGUGAGUAAUGCAUCGGAACGUGCCCAGUAGUGGGGGAUAGCCCGGCGAAAGCCGGAUUAAUACCGCAUACGACCUGAGGGUGAAAGCGGGGGAUCGAAAGUGCUAGCGCUAUUGGAGCGGCCGAUGUCGGAUUAGCUAGUUGGGUGGGUAAAGGCUUACCAAGGCGACGAUCCGUAGCUGGUCUGAGAGGACGACCAGCCACACUGGGACUGAGACACGGCCCAGACUCCUACGGGAGGCAGCAGUGGGGAAUUUUGGACAAUGGGGGCAACCCUGAUCCAGCCAUGCCGCGUGCGGGAAGAAGGCCUUCGGGUUGUAAACCGCUUUUGUUCGGGAAGAAAUCCUCUGGGCUAAUACCCCGGGGGGAUGACGGUACCGGAAGAAUAAGCACCGGCUAACUACGUG
rnacentral:rRNA from 1 species